AGCAGCCGCGGUAAUUCCAGCUCCAAUAGCGUAUAUUAAAGUUGCUGCAGUUAAAAAGCUCGUAGUUGAAUUUCGGGACCAUCAUGUCGGUCGUGCCUCGGUACGUACUGGCAUCGUUGGUUUCUCCCUUCUGAAGAACCUUGAUGUCAUUAAUUUGGUGUCUUGGGAAAUCAGGACUGUUACUUUGAAAAAUUGAGUGUUUAAAGCAGGCUCACGCUUGAAUACAUUAGCAUGGAAUAAUGAAAUAGGACGUUUGAUUCUAUUUUGUUGGUUUCUAGGAUCGACGUAAUGAUUAAUAGGGAUAGUUGGGGGCAUUAGUAUUCAAUUGUCAGAGGUGAAAUUCUUGGAUUUAUUGAAGUACUAACUACUGCGAAAGCAUUUGACCAAGGAUGUUUCAUUAAUCAAGAACGAAAGUUAGGGAU
rnacentral:rRNA from 1 species